rnacentral:lncRNA from 1 species
AAAAAACAAAUCUCUGCUAGGGUUUUUCGACCCAGCUCUCCAUACCGCCACCGCCGCCGGUCUAGGCCGAUCCACGGCCUCUGUCGUCCCAGUCUCAGAUCGUGACGGAGAUGGCAUGAACCGCGACAAAUCCAGGUAAGAUCCCUUUUUUUUAAAGAAAAACAGUAGGAAAAAAAGUCGAGAAAAGAAAUUGAAAGAAAGAAAAAAAAUAAUAAUGAAAGACCAUUCAAGAUCUUAUUUUUCUGCUCUCUUUUAUUAUCAUUUACAACGAACAUAAGAUAAAUGCAAUAGGAGUAAAUUAGAAACACAGUUUCACCUUCAAACUUCUUUGUAUUUUUCAGUAUCUCUUUGUGUUUUUGCAUAUAUCCCCCCUUUUACAGAUUUUCAAAGGCUUUUAUAGCCCGAAAAAGAUCAAAUACAUGUACUAUUUUACUGUUUCUUCUCAUUCGGACUCUUUUGAGUCCAUUUUUUGCAGGUGCCAUGCGCGCGAAUGACGCGCGUGGGGAGGCCGAUCUCCGAGUCCUGCGGCGACUGGACGCUUGCUGGAGGCAGGGGCUUGUGGCGCUAUGUGCUGCUAGGGUUUCCCAACCCUUCCCUUUUCCAUUAGUUUCGGGCCUAGGCUGGGGUGAAUUGGGUAUUGGGUUUUAAUUUUAUUAGGCCUGCUAUUGUAUUUUAUUAUUGGUAGGGCCGGGCAAAUAAUUCGUAUUACAGCUGCCCAUCUUUGCUCGUUAUCGUGUGACGGGAAUGGAGUAAAGACUUAAAAAGACCAUUUUUUUCCUGGCGAUAUGGACCUUAGCGUUAGUAGCCUCGUUCCUUCCUACUGCAUCUUCAGAGGUAUAGGAACUGGUGCUUCAAUCUACUCCACUGGAAUGUUAGGGAGAUAGGAUUCAUACGUUGUAGCUUCUCAAAAGAACAAAAUUUGCUAUCUUUAAUAUGUUCCACCGCAACUUUAGGGAGAUAAGACUUAUAGCUUCAACUUGUUCUGCUACAACUUAAAAAUACAUCUGAUGCGAUCCACUCUACUACAACUUCAGAGAGAUGAGAUCUGCGGUUUUAAUCCACUCCACUGCAACUCCAAGAAAUAGGACCGGUUAUUUAUGUCUGCUCCACUGAAACUUGAGGGAGAUAAGACUUGUAUCUUCGAUCUACUUCACCACCAGUAUGGGAAGACAAGAUCUGCUCUCUUUGAUCUACUUCAUGCCAAUACAUGAAGACAAGAUCUGCUUUCUUCGAUCUACUUCACGCCAAUACAUGAAGACAAGAUCUGCUUUCUUCGAUCUACUUCGCCACCAGUAUGGGAAGACAAGAUCUGUUGUACUCGAUCUACUUCACGCCAAUACAUGAAGACAAGAUCUGCUUUCUUCGAUCUACUUCACGCCAAUACAUGAAGACAAGAUCUGUUUUUUCCGAUCUACUUCGCCACCAGUAUGGUAAGACAAGAUCUGCUAUCUUUGAUCUACUUCACGCCAAUACAUGAAGACAAGAUCUGCUAUCUUCGAUCUACUUCACGCCAAUACAUGAAGACAAGAUCUGUUAUCUUCGAUCUACUUCACGCCAAUACAUGAAGACAAGAUCUGCUUUCUUGGAUCUACUUCACGCCAAUACAUGAAGACAAGAUCUACUUUCUUGGAUCUACUUCAUGCCAAUACAUGAAGACAAGAUCUACUUUCUUGGAUCUACUUCAUGCCAAUACAUGAAGACAAGAUCUGCUUUCUUCGAUCUACUUCAUGUCAAUACAUGAAUACAAGAUCUACUUUUUCUGAUCUAUUUCGCCACCAAUAUGGGAAGACAAGAUCUGUUAUCUUUGAUCUACUUCACGCCAAUACAUGAAGACAAGAUUUGCUAUCUUUGAUCUACUUCACACUAAUACAUGAAGACAAGAUCUGCUAUCUUCGAUCUACUUCACGCCAAUACAUGAAGACAAGAUCUGCUCUCUUCGUUCUACUUCACGCCAAUACAUGAAGACAAGAUCUGCUUUCUUCGAUCUACUUCGCCACCAGUAUGGGAAGACAAGAUCUGUUGUACUCGAUCUACUUUAUGCCAAUACAUGAAGACAAGAUCUGUUUUCUUCGAUCUACUUUAUGCCAAUACAUGAAGACAAGAUCUACUUUUUUCGAUCUACUUCGCCACCAGUAUGGGAAGACAAGAUCUGCUUUCUUUGAUCUACUUCAUGUCAAUACAUAAAGACAAGAUUUGCUGCUUUUCAACCUACUCCACUGUUGCUCAGGAUGAUAAGGCUUUAUAAUUUCACCGAUCCGUUCUCUGUGGAACAUGACCUGUAUAAUUCACUUUAUGAACCUAAUUAUGCCUAAUGAUUAGGAUGUCAUGAAUAGAAUGAAUCAAAUGCUCCUAACUAGACAUGUAUGAAUGACAUUUGAAUGAAUGCAGAAUGUCAUUUUCGAGAAUGAUUCCUCCUUGUCAUUUAGGUUAUCAUUACUCAAAGUUUAUUUAAAGUUUCAUCGCUAAUGUGCUAUAGCGCCUUCUUGCUCGGCUGGCGUCUCCAAAGAAACACUUAACCAGAUUGCCCCCCACUGUAAACUUCCAAGUUUGAUCCACUUGGAUGCAAAAUUUGUACCAUAUUUCUCCCGUUGUAACCCAAAAGUAAAAAGAUUUAGCCUUUUCUCAAUCCUCUGCUAUCACAAUUCAAGGAUACAGAAUGUGAAACUCUUUGGUCUCUUACACCAUUCCCAGGGUGUUACACCAAAUGCUCAUGCACAAAUGAAGAAUUCUUCUCCAAGAACAACUUUUUCUUAUUAUUCGGUGAUCAUUGCUUGCUUGUUCAUUGAAGCUUUGUCACCAACACGACAUCUUGCCAUUUUGUUCAUUCAAUACUUUAGACAAGAAAAUUCAAAGGGAUAGUCUUAGUUUAGACUCUUCCUUAUUAGAUUUCCAACCUUUGAACCUGGCACGUUCUAAACAAUAGUCCUGCUUGAGGCUCCUAUAUUAUUUAGAAACUUCUAGAGUAAUAUGCAUAACUUCCCUUGCGAAAGUUUUAUUAGUCCAUUAAUCAUUAUUCUAAUGCAACAUGCUUGCAAAAAGAUCAUAAUAAUGGAUAAAAUAGAGUUGGUUUUGAGCAUAGCUCGAAAUGAAUAUAUAAUAAAGAUGGAUAACAAAGAAACUGAUUUAGGAAUGCGUAUCUUGGAAAUGAAUGAAGUGUUCCAAGAAUAAAAAAAAUGGUAUAAGGAUUAGGUGCCCUAGAUAUCAUAGCUUGAACUUCUCUGUACAAACAUGCUGAAGACCAUUCUGAAUUUAACAUGUGUUUAGGAGAUCUAUAGUACUUUGUCGAUGCCCCAAAAUGUCGCCUACCCUUUCCUGUUGAUUCAAGUAUAGCAAGACCACUGGAUGCCCCAUUCUGAUCAGUAUUUGAGCUGCUCUGAUAAUUGUAAGCGCCAUUUUGAUCAACAUUUGAGCCGCCCUUUUUGGGUUUUCAACUCAAAUCCCCUUUGGUCUAAGUCGCCCUUUGCGAGUUUUCACCUUAGCCUCUCCACUUUACUUUUCCGUUCUUCAUUUUUUAUUUUCACUUUUCAUUUUCAUUUCAUCAUUUUUUUACGACUCAAAGUGCCCUUUGCAGGUUUUUAGCCUGGUCAUCUCCUUCUUUAAGCGGAGUAUUUCCUGACUGAAUCUGAGUUUACAGGACUUUGCAGGUUUAUCAUCCAUCUCGAAAUCAAAGCUCCUUUGGAAAAGACCUUCUCUAUAGCAUAAGGUUCUUCUCAAUUUGGCAUCUGUUAUAUUUUUUGUAGAGUGAGGAUAUUCUUCAGCAUUAGGUCACCAUUAUGGAAUUCUCUGGGACAAACCUUUUGCUAUUGGCUCGCAUAAUUCAUUUCUUGGUACAUCUGACCAUGAUGAAUAAUUUCUAGCCCUUUUCUUCAAUUAGGUUCAACUAAUCAUAUUGAGAUUAGAUCUUCAUCCUACUUCAGCUCAGUCAAAACCCGAAGAGAAAGAACUUCAACUUCAAUGAAAAAAAUCGUGAUAAACUGAAAAGAGUGGCAUUGCCCUGGUAGAGUUUUCACUGCACCAUUCAUGAUAUUCAUCUUGAACAUACUGCAAAUUUUUGAUAUCGUGCUGUUGUUCAUAUUGCAAUAACAGUGCUUAAACCGGGCACAUUCUGGUAUGACCAUGCGAAGGCUUCUUUAAAUGCUUGAAGUAACUCAACAACGUCUUGCUUUGUUUUUUCGGUCAUGCAUGUUCCCUCAAGGUCACAGUCUCUAUUGUCUCCUCAUAAGGUAAAAUUUCCUUCCUGCUCUACCAUCCUUAAUAAGUCCAUAAAUAUGCUACAAUCCAUGUCAUUUUCAAAGUCAUAGAAUCCCUCUAAACACAUGUCUUACUCAAAAGGAGAUUCAGAGUCUGUAACAGUGUCAAUCAUGUCAUUGAUAUCCAGGGACUUAUUGUAGGUGCCAAAGAAUAUACAAAGAAUAAUAUGAAUGAAUGAAUGGUUUGGCAGGAAAAAAAAUCCAACAGAAUGAAAGAAUCGUAAAGAAUAAAAGGAUAUUUGCUCAAAGAUGAUUGCAAUGAUGCAUUUUAUAAUGUUCAGACAUGAGCCUAUUUCAUAAAGAAGUUCUUAUUACUUAUAGGCUAAAAGCAACAAGUGUGUCUGAACAUUACUCUAACAGAUUCUAAAUACUAUAGGGUUUCCUCUGCAAUCCCAUUAUUUAUAAAACCUCCUAGGCGAAUAUCUAACAAGGACCCUUUUAGUUGUCUCUGCACAUAUGGCAUCGAUGUGUAAAUUUCUCAUCACUUCUUCAUACAUUGCAGUCCAUCCAUCCUCAAUCAUGAUUCGGUAGCAGAUUUCCUGCGCUAGACGAGUCACCAAACUUGACAAUACCCAUGUUGAUAAGUCUUUCAACUUGCUUCUUGAAAGCAGUGCAAUUUUCAAUCGAGUGUCCCUUAAUUCCUGCAUGGUAUUCACAUUGUGCGUUCGCAUCAUACCAUUCGGGAUACGGAGGUUGUAGAGGCUUCACAUGAAAAGGGGAAACAACAUGUGCAUCAAAUAAAUUUUGAUACAGUUCCUUAUACGGUACUCGGAUUGGUGUAAAUUGGAACUUUUCAAUCUUUAUGCCAGAAUCUUGCCUCGAUGAAUUCUGUUGAUUACCAACCACCUUUCUUGGCUGACUCACAGUAACUGAUUUAGAGUAACCCGUGUUAUUCCCCUCACUUUCUCUUCUUUUUGAGACUGACCUCUUGUUACUCUUCUCUGUAUCAAUUUUCCUGCUUCUUAUAGCAUUUUCGAUCAUUUCACCAUUCAUAACUAUAUCAGAAAAGCUUUUUGUAGCACUUCCUAACAUAUGCGUAAUGAAUGGGCCUUUCAGCGUAUUGACAAAGAGCAUUGUUGUUUCUCUUUCUAGUAGUGGUGGUUGAACUUGAACAGCUACUUCCCUCCACCUUUGUGCAUAUUGCCUAAAGCUCUCAUUCAGCUUCUUUUCCAUAUUUUGAAGGGUGAUUCUGUCAGGAACCAUGUCUGUUACAUGACUGUACUGUUUCAUGAACGCUUGUGCUAAAUCCCUCCAUGAACCAAUCACGCUACGACUCAGUUGAUUAUACCAUUUAGAUGCUGCCCCUGUGAGGCUAUCCUAGAAACAAUGAAUCAAUAACUGGUCAUUGUUAACAUAUUCAGCCAUUCCCCUGCAGAACAUGGUGAUAUGUGCUUCUGGACAACUUGUCCCAUUGUACUUUUCGAUUCUGACAUCUUAAACUUAUGAGGGAGUACCAAAUCCGAAACUAAACUCAGCUCUUUAGCAUCAAUCCCACGAUAGCUUUCAGUGACUUCCAUCGCCUUGAAUUUCUCCUCGAGCCAUUUACACCUUUCUUCUAACUGCAUUGGUAACUCUUCCUUUAUUCUUUCUUUUUCAACCACUUCAUCAAAGUCAGGAAUGGCAAAAUUAGCAUGGUGGUUUUUGGGGUUAGAGCCCGAUCCAGCCUGAAAGUUUGAAGCACCAGCCUGGAACUGCUGAGGCCUGAUUGUGACAGUAGAUUUGUGCGGAUAUUCAGCUUGAGUUCGCACAUGUGGAGGAGUAAAGCCUAAAGGAUAGAGUGAUUCAUCCUCAUUACCCUCUUCGAUAUCAGCCAUGAGACCCUUUCCUUUAUCACCCUCUCCAGUCAACAGUUGGGUCAACUUUGUCAUCAUAUUGUUUUGGGAUUCCUGCAUCUUCUCUGACAUAUCCCGUUGCAUCUUGUCUAACCGCUCCUGCACUUGUAACUGGAGUUGGUCUUGCAUUUCUUUCUGGUGCUGUUUGAGCUUUUCCAAUCUCUGAUCCAUGUCAUUAAUCUUUGCUCGAGUGACGUAACGGUGUUUAGUUGGUUGGUCGAUUUCCAAGUUAACUGAUCAAUGAUUUUAAUUAAUUAGGAUCAUUUAACGGUGUCUAAUGCAUGUGAUGUAAUGAAAUGCAAAUGCAUGAAAUGAAUGCAAAAAGAGACGUUGAUUCUGGUUCAAUUCUUUACUAGAAAAACUUCGCUAGAAAACAAAUCUCUUUACACAAAGCGAAUAUAUAUACGGCUUCACCCUCGUACUCCAAGCAAAGACAUCGACGUUUCAGGUAUUAAGAUGUAUCUCGCGAAUUUGAGCUCCUUCUUGUUUGAUCUAGGUCGUAACUCCUUGCUCACUCACGUUCAUUAUCUUCUUUAAUAGGUUGAAACCUUUGAUGACUUUUGAAUAAUCUUUGGCAAUUUGAAUCCUCAAGUUACGCAGCAAAGUCGUAUACUCCUCUUGUUAGGUUUUUCGUGUCACGUUUUCUUAGACUAUACUCGGACAACCGUAUUAUCUUCCACCUUAUCAAGAAACCUGUUUUCCGUGGUAAGUUCUCUAUUUAACAACCAAACAUGAAUCAACAUCUCUUUUCUAUAAUGAAAUGUCAUGCAGUCUAAAUGCCAUGCAGUCAAAGUGAAACACAAAAAGUCAAUAUUAUGUACAAACAAUCAAAACACUUAUUCAGGUGUCUACCAGGGUUCAGUGUAGUUCUACCUAGGGCAAGUUCCUAAAGCUCACUAUAUGAGGCUUAGUUUCUAGAGUAAGGGUACCCGAACCAGCAGAUUCCUCGAUCCUCACCUAUUAUAGGCUCAUGUGGAUCGAGUUCAGUUCAGGGGGAUACAUUUCUCUAUGGCUACACGGAGAUGAAAAUCUCACGAAGACAUAGGUACGGAUGUAUCCCGGAAGCGGUCCACUACCCUGCACAGAGGUGAAAACCUCACGAAGCACUAGUUUCUCGCUCCCACUUAAAGAGUAAAACUGACCAUGUAAUGCAAAAAUGCAAAUGUAAAUGCAAAGUAGCCAACAUUCCAUGAUAAAAUAUCAAUGAGUGUGAAAGGAAAUCAUGAUUUUAAAACCCAAAUUUGAUUUUUCGAUCAUAAGACAUAAAAUAACCAAUUUAUGGCUCGACUCUCUAGUGCCCCAGUGGAGUCGCCAAGCUGUCGAAACCACCUUUUUGAAAACAAAAAUUUUAGUUGUCGACUUUAAAAAAAAAUUGGAGUCGCCACCGAUCCUUUAUUAAGGUGUGAUCGGCUCACCUUAAAAAUUAUUUUGGUCUACGAGUUUUUUGAGAAAACGAGUUCGGGAGUCGAUUACGCACGAGGAAGGGUUAGCACCCUCGUAACGCCCAAAAUCGGUAUCAAAUUGAUUAUUUAAUGUCUUAGUGUCGAUGGCUAAAAAGAUUUUUAAAACAACUCAAAUGAUGAAAUCUGAAAAGGAUACUCAAUUGUUCAAGUAUGUAAAGAAAUCGAGUCCCAAUACGUUAGGGUACAAUUUCUCAAAAUUCCCGAACUUUGAAUAUCACUUUUAUUUUAUGCGAAAAUCUUCAUUUUGAGAAGGUAAUAUGACAUGCCCAAUACAUUAGGACACAACAAGUUAAGUUCCCAUAAAUGAUUUUAGUACUCAUGCAUUUUGAAUAAAGAAUAUUCUCGGUUAUUUAAGAUUAACAAAGAAAAUCGGAACCCAAUACGUUAGGGCUCAAUUUCCUCAAAAAUCCCAAACUUCGAAUAUUGCUUUUAUUCAAAAUAAACCUUGAAUCAAGAAAAAAUGAUUUUGAUAUAUCGAAAAAAACCAAGAUUUAUUUUCCAAAGGGUAUGUUAAAAAUUAAUGUACAAUAUGAAACAAAUAUUUUAAUUUAAAAUAUAUAUGUACAUGUAUUUACAAAAUAUGUAAACACAAGCACAAUAUACAAGUAAAUUUGAAAAUAUGUGUAUGCAUAUAUUUAACACACAUAUACAAGUAUACGUAUGUAAAAAACAUGUAUAGCAGAACUUAUAAUAAUCUCCAAAAAUAUGUAUGUAGAUUUCAAAGAAAAUACGUAUAUGUACAAAAAUAAGGAAAAUACAAUUGUAUUGUAAAAUAUAAGUGUACAUACAUAUAUACUUAUUUAUAAAAACUAUGAAAACAAAAAUAAGGAAAAUAUAUAUAUAAUAUAAAAUAUAUAAAAGUUAAAAGAGAUAAAAUAAAAAAAACUAAAUAAAACGUAUGUAAAAUGCAUGUAUUUAUAUAAGUUUUAAGAAUAUAUAUUAUAUAAAGAAAUAUAUAUAUAUACUCUAUAUUAAAAAUGCGUGUAUACAUAUAGAAAUAAUAAUAAAUGAUAAUAAAUUAUAUAGUAAUAAUUUUAAAAUUUUAAAUUUAUAAAAACAAAUUGCAAAAACAAAAUAAUAAUAAAAAGAAAUUAAAAUAAAACGAAGGACUAAUCUGCCACACGCGCAUUACAUGGGGGGCCAAAAUGGAAAUAAUCCCUCUCCCCAAACAGUGCGUUUACAUAAGGAUCAAAAUGAAACAAAAGCAAAGUGUGCAACCACAUUUAAAAGAAACAAAAACUGAUUUAAAAACGAUUUUAAAACUUGAAGGACCAAACGGCGUUGUUUUGUUAAAGUAAUUUAAAACAGUUUUUCCUUUUAAAAAAACCCAUUUGCAGGAGAAAAGAAAAAAAAACAAAUCUCUGCUAGGGUUUUUCGACCAAGCUCUCCAUACUGCCGCCGCCGCCGGUCUAGGCCGAUCCACGGCCUCCGUCGUCCCAGUCUCCGAUCGUGACGGAGAUGGAAUGAACCGCGACAAAGCCAGGUAAGAUCUCCUUUUUUUUAAAAGAAAAACAGUAGGAAAAAAUUGAGAAAAGAAAUUGAAAGAAAGAAAAAUAAUAAAAAUGAAAGACCAUUCAAGAUCUUAUUUUUCUGCUCUCUUUUAUUAUCAUUUACAACGAACAUAAGAUAAAUGCAAUAGGAGUAAAUUAGAAACACAGUUUCACCUUCAAACUUCUUUGUAUUUUUCAGUAUCUCUGUGUGUUUUUGCAUAUAUCCCCCCUUUUACAGAUUUUUAAAGGCUUUUAUAGCCCGAAAAAGAUCAAAUACAAGUACUAUUUUACUGUUUCUUCUCAUUCAGACUCUUUUGAGUCCGUUUUUUACAGGUGUCGUGCGCGCGAAUGACGCGCGUGGGGAGGCCAAUCUCCGAGUCCUGCGGCGACUGGACGCUUGCUGGAGGCAGGGGCUUGCGGCGCUACGUGCUUCUAGGGUUUCCCAACCCUUCCCUUUUCCAUUAGUUUCGGGCCUGGGCUGGGGUGAAUUGGGUAUUGGGUUUUAAUUUUAUUGGGCUUGCUAUUGUAUUUUAUUAUUGGUAGGGCCGGGCAAAUAAUUGGUAUUACAGGUUUUAUUUAUUUGUAUAUUAAAAUGUCAUGUCAUUAAUUUCCACAAGGUUUAACGGAAAAUAAUGCCACAUAGAUAACAGUGUUAAUGAUACGGGAAAGUUGAAUCAAAAUUAAAAUUUUAUAUAUAUAAUUGUAUAAAAUUAAAAUUUGUGUAUAUGAUUGCACACUGG